rnacentral:rRNA from 1 species
UACGUAGGGUGCGAGCGUUGUCCGGAAUUAUUGGGCGUAAAGGGCUCGUAGGCGGUCUGUCGCGUCGGGAGUGAAAACUCAGGGCUUAACCCUGAGCCUGCUUCCGAUACGGGCAGACUAGAGGUAUGCAGGGGAGAGCGGAAUUCCUGGUGUAGCGGUGGAAUGCGCAGAUAUCAGGAGGAACACCGGUGGCGAAGGCGGUUCUCUGGGCAUUACCUGACGCUGAGGAGCGAAAGCGUGGGGAGCGAACAGG